GACGAACGCUGGCGGCGCGCCUAACACAUACAAGUCGAACGAGCGAGAGAGAGCUUGCUUUCUUGAGCGAGUGGCGAACGGGUGAGUAACGCGUGAGGAACCUGCCUCAAAGAGGGGGACAACAGUUGGAAACGACUGCUAAUACCGCAUAAGCCCACGACCCGGCAUCGGGUUGAGGGAAAAGGAGCAAUCCGCUUUGAGAUGGCCUCGCGUCCGAUUAGCUAGUUGGUGAGGUAACGGCCCACCAAGGCGACGAUCGGUAGCCGGACUGAGAGGUUGAACGGCCACAUUGGGACUGAGACACGGCCCAGACUCCUACGGGAGGCAGCAGUGGGGAAUAUUGCACAAUGGGGGAAACCCUGAUGCAGCGACGCCGCGUGGAGGAAGAAGGUCUUCGGAUUGUAAACUCCUGUUGUUGAGGAAGAUAAUGACGGUACUCAACAAGGAAGUGACGGCUAACUACGUG
rnacentral:rRNA from 1 species